rnacentral:misc_RNA from 1 species
CUCUUGGAACCGGCAGAGAAGACUGUUGCCGUGUGAAAACUGGUAGUUAGAUGUACAAAAGAAAAUUCAAGUGGGAAUUGAGGUUUUUGGGCACACUCUUUCAUGGAAGACAACGGAAGUAUGAAACUGGUAAAUUAAAAGGUCUGUAUUGAUACCUGUCGUUGCCAUCUAAGGAAUCGUGAUAAGAGGAUGGAAAAAACAGAAGAAAUUACAGAGGCAUAUGCCUCUCGUUCUUUCAAGCUGACCAAGGUUCUUCCUAUGUAACUGUAGACGGAAGAUAGAAAUAUUUCUAUUGCGAAAUGUUUGUGACUUGCUGUAUACAAUUUUAGAAACACUUUCUGACACAUUUACGUCUUAACAGCGCGACGAGUAUUCUAUGCAUCAUAUUCGCAGUUAAGGUUGUAGUUUUUAUGAUCUCCACGUGCAAACGAAUUCACAAGAGAAUCAACUGCUCCGUUAUAUUGACUCUGGCAUCAGACGCUCUCGCUCGUGGCAUUGAAAUUGGAUAGUGUGGGUUCGAAUCCUCAUGGGAGAGAGUUGUUCGCCCAAGUAUUGCAAAUUUGAAUUGAUUAAAUUAAAUACGGUUCUCUAUUUGAAUAAAUAAUAUUCUACAUUGAUAAUAUACUAUCUAGACUGGGGAUUAAAUUCCAGUUUCCAGUUCAUCUUUUUACGUGUUUUCUGCUUUGUCAUGAACUUGCAACUGAAUACUUUGGUAUUAAUCUGACCUCCUGGUUAUUAUUUUGAGGGUUAAGUAGAUUGAAAUACCUCCGAAAGCCUUCCGUUAGGAUCAUUUUGCACCUUUAAUCUACUUGAGGCGACAAAUAAAUUUAAUUUGGGAAAAUGUGA